rnacentral:rRNA from 1 species
GUCUGCAACUCGACUACAUGAGGCUGGAAUCGCUAGUAAUCGCGAAUCAGCAUGUCGCGGUGAAUACGUUCCCGGGUCUUGUACACACCGCCCGUCACACCAUGGGAGUUGGUAACGCCCGAAGCCAGUGACCCAACCGGAAACGGAGGGAGCUGUCGAAGGUGGGACCGAUAACCGGGGUGAAGUCGUAACAAGGUAUC